rnacentral:rRNA from 1 species
AAUCAACGCUGGCGGCGCGCUUAACACAUGCAAGUCGAACGAGAAAGUGGAGCAAUCCAUGAGUACAGUGGCGCACGGGUGAGUAACACGUGGGUAACCUGCCCUCGAGUGGGGAAUAACCUGGGGAAACCCGGGCUAAUACCGCAUACGUUCCUGGGAACUGAUGUUGCCGGGAGGAAAGGCGUAAGUCGCUCGAGGAGGGGCCCGCGGCCGAUUACGGUUGUUGGUAGGGUAACGGCCUACCAAGCCUGGGAUCGGUAGCCGGCCUGAGAGGGCACACGGCCACACUGGCACUGAAACACGGGCCAGACUCCUACGGGAGGCAGCAGUGGGGAAUCUUGCACAAUGGGGGCAACCCUGAUGCAGCGACGCCGCGUGAGUGAUGAAGCCCUUCGGGGCGUAAAGCUCUUUUGACGGGGACAAUUAUGAUGGUACCCGUCGAAUAAGCUGCGGCUAACUACGUGCCAGCAGCCGCGGUAAUACGUAGGCAGCAAGCGUUGUUCGGAAUUACUGGGACG